GGGGCUGUGGCUCGGUGGGCAGAACAUCUGCUUUGCAUGCAGAAGGUGGCAGGUUCAGUGCUUGGCAUCUCCA